rfam:Schistosoma curassoni strain Dakar, Senegal genome assembly, scaffold: SCTD_scaffold0007406
AUUCAACCGAAGAGUCCCGAAUAGGACGAAACACGCGUCCCAGAU